AACAACUCACCUGCCGAAUGAAUUAGCCCUGAAAAUGGAUGGCGCUUAAGCGGGGAGCCGACACUACGCCGUCUGAACGACGAUUGUUUUCAGAUGAGUAGGAGGACGUGGCGGUUGUAUCGAAGCGUUGGCGCAAGCCUGCGUGGAACGGCCGCUAGUGCAGAUCUUGGUGUUAGUAGCAAAUAUUCAAACGAGAACCUUGAAGGGCGAAGCGGGGAAGGGUUCCACGCGUACAUUGAUUGGGCGUGGGUGAGUCGUUCCUAAGCCGCGUGGCAAUAGCUAAUUACCGGCGAAAGGGAAGCAGGUUGAAAUUCCUGCACACGGAUGUGGACGCGGUGACGCACUUCUGGGGCAAUGACGCUGGCUUUGGCACUGGGCAGAGUUGUCUUUUCUGUUUAACCGUUUGAGUGCACUGUGUGGAAUCCGCUUGUCGGGAGAAACACGUGCAGUCGGGCAUAGCGCCGGGGUUUUUCCGGCGUCCAGUUCGCCAACGACGGACCUUGAAAAAUUGUCUGCUGGCAGCGCAUUCUUGCAAUGUGUUGUAUGAAGAACUCCACGCCGUAACGUACCGAUAACCGCAUCAGGUCCCCAAGGUGAACAGCCUCUGCUCGAUAUGAUCAAU
rnacentral:rRNA from 1 species